CCUACGGGAGGCUGCAGUGAGGAAUAUUGGUCAAUGGGCGUAAGCCUGAACCAGCCAAGUCGCGUGAGGGAUGAAGGUUCUAUGGAUCGUAAACCUCUUUUGUCAGGGAAUAAAGUGUGGGACGUGUCCUAUUUUGUAUGUACCUUAUGAAUAAGGAUCGGCUAACUCCGUGCCAGCAGCCGCGGUAAUACGGAGGAUCCGAGCGUUAUCCGGAUUUAUUGGGUUUAAAGGGUGGGCAGGCGGCCUUUUAAGGCAGCGGUGAAAGUCUGUGGCUCAACCAUAGGAUUGCCGUUGAAACUGGGGGCCUUGAGUAUGUUAGAGGCAGGCGGAAUGCGUGGUGUAGCGGUGAAAGGCUUAGAUAUCACGCAGAACCCCGAUUGCGAAGGCAGCCUGCCAAGCCAUGACUGACGCUGAUGCACGAAAGCGUGGGGAUCAAACAGGAUUAGAUACCCGGGUAGUC
rnacentral:rRNA from 1 species